CCUACGGGUGGCAGCAGUGGGGAAUAUUGCACAAUGGGGGAAACCCUGAUGCAGCAACGCCGCGUGAAGGAAGACGGUUUUCGGAUUGUAAACUUCUAUCAAUAGGGAAGAAAGAAAUGACGGUACCUAAAUAAGAAGCCCCGGCUAACUACGUGCCAGCAGCCGCGGUAAUACGUAGGGGGCAAGCGUUAACCGGAAUUACUGGGUGUAAAGGGAGAGUAGGCGGCAAGGUAAGCGAUAUGUGAAAGCCUUAAGCUUAACUUAAGGAUGGCAUAACGAACUAUCUAGCUAGAGUACAGGAGAGGAAAGCGGAAGUCCUAGUGUAGCGGUGAAAUGCGUAGAUAUCAGGAGGAACACCGGCGGCGAAGGCGGCCUGCUGGACCGCGACUGACGUUGAGGCUCGAAAGCGUGGGGAGCGAACAGGAUUAGAUACCCCUGUAGUC
rnacentral:rRNA from 1 species